rnacentral:rRNA from 1 species
GAGUUUGAUCAUGGCUCAGAACGUACGCUGGCGGCACGCCUAACACAUGCAAGUCGAACGAAGUAGCAAUACUUAGUGGCAGACGGGUGAGUAACAUGUAGGUAUCUGCCCUUUGGCCUGGAAUAACACGAGGAAACUUGUGCUAAUACCGGAUAAGUCUUUACGGAGAAAGCUUUAUGCACCAUUGGAUGAGCCUGCACUUGAUUAGUUUGUUGGUGGGGUAAUGGCCUACCAAGACUGUGAUCAAUAGCUGAUUUGAGAGGAUGAUCAGCCACAUUGGGACUGAGACACGGCCCAAACUCCUACGGGAGGCAGCAGUGGGGAAUCUUGCACAAUGGAGGAAACUCUGAUGCAGCGAUGCCGCGUGAGUGAAGAAGGCCCUUGGGUUGUAAAGCUCUUUCGUCGGGGAAGAAAAUGACUGUACCCGAAUAAGAAGGUCCGGCUAACUUCGUGCCAGCAGCCGCGGUAAUACGAAGGGACCUAGCGUAGUUCGGAAUUACUGGGCUUAAAGAGUUCGUAGGUGGUUGAAAAAGUUAGUGGUGAAAUCCCAGAGCUUAACUCUGGAACUGCCAUUAAAACUUUUCAGCUAGAGUAUGAUAGAGGGAAGCAGAAUUUCUAGUGUAGAGGUGAAAUUCGUAGAUAUUAGAAAGAAUACCAAUUGCGAAGGCAGCUUUCUGGAUCAUUACUGACACUGAGGAACGAAAGCAUGGGUAGCGAAGAGGAUUAGAUACCCUCGUAGUCCAUGCCGUAAACGAUGUGUGUUAGACGUUGGAAAUUUAUUUUCAGUGUCGCAGGGAAACCGAUAAACACACCGCCUGGGGAGUACGACCGCAAGGUUAAAACUCAAAUGAAUUGACGGGGACCCGCACAAGUAGUGGAGCAUGUGGUUUAAUUCGAAGAUACGCGCAGAACCUUACCAACACUUGACAUGUUCGUCGCGACUCUAAGAGAUUAGAGUUUUCGGUUCGGCCGGACGAAACACAGGUGCUGCAUGGCUGUCGUCAGCUCGUGUCGUGAGAUGUUGGGUUAGGUCCCGCAACGAGCGCAACCCUCACUUUUAGUUGCCAUCAUUAAGUUGGGCACUCUGAAAGAACUGCCAGUGAUAAGCUGGAGGAAGGUGGGGAUGACGUCAAGUCCUCAUGGCCCUUACGUGUUGGGCUACACACGUGCUACAAUGGUAUCUACAACAGGAAGCAAGACUGCGAAGUUAAGCAAAUCCCUAAAAGAUACCUCAGUUCGGAUUGCACUCUGCAACUCGAGUGCAUGAAGCUGGAAUUACUAGUAAUCGUGGAUCAGCGUGCCACGGUGAAUGCGUUCCCGGGUCUUGUACACACCGCCCGUCACACCAUGGGAGUUGGUUCUACCUUAAGGCAAGGUUUUAAACCCUUGACCACGGUAUAGUCAGCGACUGGGGUGAAGUAGUAACAAGGUAACC